GACGAACGCUGGCGGCGUGCUCAACACAUGCAAGUCGAACGAAGAGCGAUGGAAGCUUGCUUCUAUCAAUCUUAGUGGCGAACGGGUGAGUAACGCGUAAUCAACCUGCCCUUCAGAGGGGGACAACAGUUGGAAACGACUGCUAAUACCGCAUACGAUCUAAUCUCGGCAUCGAGGAUAGAUGAAAGGUGGCCUCUACAUGUAAGCUAUCACUGAAGGAGGGGAUUGCGUCUGAUUAGCUAGUUGGAGGGGUAACGGCCCACCAAGGCGAUGAUCAGUAGCCGGUCUGAGAGGAUGAACGGCCACAUUGGGACUGAGACACGGCCCAGACUCCUACGGGAGGCAGCGGUGGGGAAUCUUCCGCAAUGGACGAAAGUCUGACGGAGCAACGCCGCGUGAGUGAUGACGGCCUUCGGGUUGUAAAGCUCUGUUAAUCGGGACGAAAGGCCUUCUUGCGAAUAGUGAGAAGGAUUGACGGUACCGGAAGAGAAAGCCACGGCUAACUACGUG
rnacentral:rRNA from 1 species